GAUGAACGCUGGCGGCGUGCCUAAUACAUGCAAGUCGAGCGAACAGAUAAGGAGCUUGCUCCUUUGACGUUAGCGGCGGACGGGUGAGUAACACGUGGGUAACCUACCUAUAAGACUGGGAUAACUUCGGGAAACCGGAGCUAAUACCGGAUAAUAUUUCGAACCGCAUGGUUCGAUAGUGAAAGAUGGUUUUGCUAUCACUUAUAGAUGGACCCGCGCCGUAUUAGCUAGUUGGUAAGGUAACGGCUUACCAAGGCGACGAUACGUAGCCGACCUGAGAGGGUGAUCGGCCACACUGGAACUGGGACACGGUCCAGACUCCUACGGGAGGCAGCAGUAGGGAAUCUUCCGCAAUGGGCGAAAGCCUGACGGAGCAACGCCGCGUGAGUGAUGAAGGUCUUCGGAUCGUAAAACUCUGUUAUUAGGGAAGAACAUACGUGUAAGUAACUGUGCACGUCUUGACGGUACCUAAUCAGAAAGCCACGGCUAACUACGUG
rnacentral:rRNA from 1 species